GUAAAUAAUUUUCGUUGUUUUCACAGUUUUUUACUGUUUUUCUCGACAGUUUCUUACUGUAUAAGUUGUUUACAGUUUGUUACUAUAGAUUUGUUGUUUCCACAGUAUUUUAAUGUAUUUUCAACAGUUUUUUACUGCAUAAGCUUUGUACAGUAGGCUACUGUAGUUUUCCAAUGCAUUAUGGGAAAUAUUACUCUGAAUACAGUAUUACCAACCAACUGCAAAACACAAUGACAAACGUCUAUUUAUAUCUUAAAUGCUUAAUUUUUUUGUGAGAUAUUUGGUUUAAUGUCUGUUUUCACAUCAGAUGCUCGGUGUGUUCCUUUAACAUAAAUCAGGUGCCUUUUCUGAGGCUUUAAUGAAAUCACCAGCCAAUUCAAUAGACAUACCAUCAGUUCUUAAUAUUGUUGCCUCUGUGUCACAAAAUGUAUUUUUAAGAUUAGUUUAGGCGAUAAUAUAUAUAUGUAUAAUCUUCAAAUAGCAGUCGAUUAGUUAAAAAAGCGCUAAUUUUAGAAUUUGAUUAAACAAAUGCGGAGGGUUCAGGCGCGAGUCGGUCACGUGAUGUGCUCCUCAGUUCUGUCAGUAGGGGGAGUGGGAGAACGCGUGUGUGUCGUCGUAUCUGUUCUGCUCACCUAGCGCGUAUUUCUUUAUUAAUAUCUGCUGGGUGAAUAUUAAUACGUAUAUGCUAACAUUAAUUUUGUGACCACAAAAUGACAGCGAGCUAUUAUACGAGAUAUUGUGUCGUCGUGUUUGUCUUCACUCACUUCAUCAUUAUCUGUGUAUGUAAAUCUGGGCUACAGUCCACGACAAAUUUUCUACGGUAGAUUUACGCCUGCAUGCUGGUCCUUUCGUCUAUCGCGGGGAUAUCAUCACUUCAGCGGACAUCGCACUGAAGAGAUCCUGUGCUUGCGUGGCGGUGUGUUUGUGUGCUCACUUGGAUUGAGACCAGCAGUGCUUUUUUAAAAGUGGGUGAGUACUAACUUAUUAUUGUGUAGUUUCAUAAAAGCCUUACUCUUUUCAGUCACAUAACUUUUGUUCAUCUGCUAAUAAUAGGACUAUCCAUACACAAAGAUGUAUUGUGGAUUUAAGUAAUAUCUGCGAAUAUUUAUGUGAAAAUGUAUUAGUGUUCUGCUGACAUGAGAUCUGAAAUUGUGUUCUAGGACCUGAUAUGGAUUAAUCCAAUGAUCAACGUUUUCCUUUGUAUCCCUGUUUUGUAUACGCUGCCAUUACAUGAUGGUCAUAUGUCCCGGAUGAUCGGGAGAAGUCACGUGGUUCAAUUAUUAUUUUUUUUUUACGUGGUUCAAUUUUUUUUCAAUUUUUUUUACCAUGCAUUUAGCAUCAGGCAAAGCCUGCAAUCAAUCUAUUAAGACAGAAACAAUAUCUUACUUAUUAUUAUGUUGUUAUGACAAUAUCAUGUGAUCAUCUGAGUUAGAACAAAAUCUAUUCAUUUUCAGGUAUUACUGUGCAAGUUCCCUGAAUCAUUCUGUUGAAAUGUUAUGUGUUUAAGAUUCUUUAUGACAUCAAGAUGUGGUUUGGGAAGGACCUUCAUCUAAAUCUGAAGACAGGACAUACUGGCUCAAAAAGCGUUUGGUCAGGAACUGCCUAUACACUUGAAAAAUGCACAGAACUGGAACAGCACAUCAGUUGGGAGCACAUUAACAAGGAUGAAAUUUAUCCAAUAAUUAUUUUAAUAUUUAUAGGUAAGCAACUACUUGCUGAGUGUAUUUAAUGAGUGUGUAUUAAUCUCUUACAGCUCCCAUACUUAGUACAGUAUAUUUUAAUCAGUGUGGCAAUAACUUGUGUUUUAUUUUUAUGUUUACACAGGUGUUUCUGAUAUGGAGAAAAACCCAGCACUGCUCAUUUUAUUUCUUCAUCUUGAGAAUACAGCAAGUUUACCUUUUGUCUGGAAAAUGAUUCAGCAAAGCUAACACCAACAACAAUUUUUCAUGGCACUUUAAACCACCUUGAUGUGAGGAGCCAGCAUCAGAAUGGAUGGUGUCAAUAUCCUGAAAGUGGAGGUAACAGAGGUGGAUCUCGAGACUUGGCCAUGUUCUAGAUUAUAACUGGAUUAUCACAAGUGCUGUCGCCCCUGCUGUAUAUGACGCCCCCACCACCUACACCAGGACCGACGUUGCCUACUACUGACCUACACCUUCAUCCUGCCACCACCACCCAUACUACCUACAAAAAACUGUAUUGUAAUUAUGCUUUUCACUGUAUUGUAUGAUGUGGUUUUCUCAUUUAGGGUAACUACACUAUGGCAACAAUUGGAUACAUUGAUUGCUGACUGAUUUUGUUAUUUUUUCUUUACUUUUUGUUUAAAAUCUAAUCAUUUUUUUGUUAUUUUUGUUAAUAUUGUUACAAAUAUACAGUUAAAAACUGCACAAUAAAUUGUCUGCUUUUAAAGA